AAUUAUAGGUUGGUGCAGAAGUAAUUGUGUUUUUUGCCAUGAAAGCAAUGGCAAAAACUGCAAUUACUUCUGCACCAACCUAAUGGUACCCAA
rnacentral:miRNA from 1 species